UUUCUUUUCUUUGUCGGAAAGUCUAAAGUGCCUUUCUUUAGUGCCUUGGUCGCUGCAUGGGGCCUUGGUCAAUAACAUUCCUCCCUCACCCUGCGGAAGGAGACGGGCCAAGCAAGACAUGGCUGAAUGAAAUUCCUCUCACCUCACCCCGUAAACAUCCCAAGAGUCUGGCCCCAUUAUGGCUGGGUACAAAAGUCUGGGUCCGAGGCCGAACAAAAGGAUGGGGAAGAAAGUGCAGGUUGCCAGGGCAACGCUGUCCAGGCUGCCUGGUUUUAUCAGCAAGGGGCCUGGGUUUUCUGCCUGAGUUACGGGAAUCUGAGGCAAUUUAUUUCCACCGCAAGACAGAGGCUUUAGAGGGCAGCGUGGUGAGGCUCCGGCUUCGCUUUUGGUGUUCGCAGCAGGGCAGGUGAGGUGGGAGCAGCCGGGUACCCAGAGAGCCAGCAGCAUCCUGGGAGGCACGGGGAGCACAGCAACGCCCAGGGAGUCCCCUGCAAAGGUUAACACAGAAUGGUGACCCUCCAGGGAGUCUGUCCAAUCUGCCCCUUACAUGAUUUGGGCUCUGUCCCGGCCUCCUCUACAACACAUGAAGUCUGCUCGUCCGUCUGUUCAGAGUCCAUUCAUCUCUCUUGACUGAGGAUGGACUUCUCUCUGCUUGGGGACCCCAGUACCCUGGCAGGUUGGAUUAAAUUGGGGAAAACCGGUUUUUUCAGUAGCCUGACGGAGAGGGUUUUACAGUUUAAUUCAGAGAGGCUUUUACAGUUUAAUCCAGAUGAAGGCUGGUUACUUCUAGGCCUAGUGUUGUCUGCACUAGAGAUGAUCUGGUCCACUCCCAGAGAGCAUCAAAGUUGCCUCUGACAGGCCUGGAUUGCAGUGGGAACAUCUGGAACCCAGUGCCUGAGGGUCAAAAGAAGCAGGACUGCCAGGUCCCCUGGCACAGCAUUUAGCAAAGCUAAUGCAAAACCUUAAAGCUACCUGAGCCCGGAGGACUGGAUCUGGGAUGUGUUGGCCUCACAUUGAAAAGGACGAGGUCAGCUAUGGGAAAUUAAGUUCCAACUGGAUAAAUAUCCUUCCCCACCAGUUUUUGGUGACAAGAGACAGAAUACUCCAGAGACCUGGAAGCAGUAAAGACAACAUGGGAAACCAAGCUGACACCAAUCUUACAAAGGGUGUUACAACACUGGGGAAAGUAUCAUUCAGGCAUCCACUCAGCACAGUAGCUCUAUUGGGCAGCAAAGAUGUUCAUGAUGUGGCUCCCUGUCAGUCUGAAGAGGAUGAUAACGCUGGGUGUAGGGUCAACAUGCAAGAUAGAGAAUGAAAAAAAGCCUGAAUGGUAUAACAAAAUAAGGUACAAAAGUCAGACAUGCUGAUGUGUUAAAGCCAGGACAAGCAGGCAUUUUUGGUUUCCAAACAAACCAAAAUACCAAAAUGCAGGUGGGAUGGCAAGGUUUCCAGAGGCAGAACCUCUUGCAGAAGAGAAAGAACCACACUGAAGGUUGUGAAUGUAGUACCCACUCCUUGUUUGUUUCAUGUUUUUCCUGUGGGAUGUGGGGAGUUUGUAGGAUGGGUCAGUAGCAUGCAAAGACCUGGAACAAAAUUUGCAGGCCAGCUCGGUUAAACAGCUGGAGCAGAACCAGCUCAGCAGGCCAUGGAAAGCAUUCGGCCGAGACAGCCUGCUCAUCUCAAUUCAUCUAGACAAAUUUCUAGACAAAUGCGCCAAGCUGUGCUCAAUGGAGUGACAGGGAAAUUACUAAUUAAACUGAAGAUGGUGGGAUUAGUGGGAAGAAAUAGCAGUCGGGUACAGAAGCUGUACCUCUGGACAGAGGCAGUAGCAGGCUAGACAGAGUUCACCACUGGAGUUUCUCUGGAAUUGAUCCUGGGAUUGAUCUUGUUUAUUCUCUCCAUGAAUGAUGUUGUCAUAAGAAGUGGAAGCGCUUAGGUUAAGCCAGCUGAUGACGCAGAAGGGAGAGGCAUUGUGAAUGCAGAGGAGACAGGAGAUCAAACAGAAAGCAGCAGACAACCUUGAGCACGGAGACGCAGGAACGAGUUGAAAUUCAAGAGCACGAAAUGCAAGACUAAUCACAGGGUUGGGGUUUUUUGUGCUAGACAGGGAGUGUGUCAGUUGGACAUGACUGAGGAGGAGGUGAACUUCGUUGUAGCAGUCAUGGGUGAUUAUGAACCACCAAUGAGCUAAAGGCACAAAAAGGCGAACGAGACCCGAGGGGUUUGGGAUAUUGCCAGUAGAAGCAGGAAAUUAUUAAUAGCAUUUGCGAAGUACUGACAAGACCUCAUCUAGCAUUGGGUAGGAGUCCUGGACAGGUAGGCUGAAUUCUUGCCAGAAGCAGUGCAGAAAAAUUCUCUGAAUAUGAUCAAGAGACUGGAGAUUCUGUUUCACGAAUAAAACAAAAGAUGGAAGGAGUUAUCUUCUCCAUUGGUUUGCAAGUGAUAGCCAAGCACAGCAGAAAAACUCACAAAUUAGAAAGCAAGGAUGCUGACAACCCCAGACCCUGUGUCCCUGUGCCUCCCUCCCACCUGAAACUACCUGAGCUCUUGCCCUCCACAGGAUCUCUUCUGCAGAGAGACCAUUUGCACCCUCCUCCUUCCCCCUCCUCGCCUUCGUGCCUGGAAACUGAUCCCCACUUCAACUCUAAACAGGCAAAAAGAAAAGGAAAGCCAGUAGACUGGGUCUUUUGUACAGCAAAGCAGAUUAGGGGCCUCCCAGGGACUUGCAGCUUGUAAGAGGGAAGGGCUGGGAGAUGGAGGGAGGUAGGGGGGUGGCUCUGCUCUCCUCCACAAACAGUGAAACUCAGACCUGCCUUUGGUCUGCUCCUUGCAAAGUCUUUUUUGUCCCCCUUCCUUCCUGUCCCCCCCCUUCCUGUCCCCCCCCCCCCGCUUGACAUUGUGGACCAGCUUUUGGGGGCUAGGAUCUUUUCAGUUCCUGCAAUGGAUUUAAUUCCUGAAACGUGUGUCCUGUUCCCCGCUCCCGUGCUGAAUCAGGAAAGCAUUCACCCAAACAAAAGCCAAAUCUCCCUCCUAGGGGCAAUCAGGAAAAGGGGUCCCUGCAGUGGUCUCUGGUUUGAAGACAAAAGGUUGCUUGAACUAUAGACAAGCGGGUUAGUGCCACCAUGGAUUAUAGAAACAGCUGUGGAAGCAGGGAUUAGCCACCACCUGUGUGACAAAGGCUACAGGUCUCCAGUCCCAGGGCCAGCAGAACACAUGGCAGAGGCUUUGUGCUACCUGUCUGCCUGAGCUUGACUCUUCAGGUGCUUUCUUUAUUCUCAACUUGCCCUCACCAAAUGCAAAGUGCUUAGGCUAGGAUGAGCCAGACUUGCCUAGACCCAGGUUUGGGCAAUCUUGGCCUCUUUUAAUUUGAGUUGACUGAUUCCCUCUGUCCUACAGCCCAACUCCUCUUUGGCUGUGAGCUGUAGGAAAUGACUUGGUGUGGUGAGCACACUAAGGCAGAGCAAUGCCUGGGUACAGGGGAAGCACAGACCCUGCCACUGCCACUGGCACUGAGCUGCUCCUCGUGCAGCAGCUUGGUCUGCCAUGGGGGACUGGCUUUCUUAAAGCCUCUUGACUUGAAGGGAAGCUGCUACACCUUUUUAAGUGCUCUGUAAUGUCCUACUUGUUGGUGUGUCCAUGCAGCACCCCAUCCCUUUAGCCCUUCUAGGCUCAAGCUUUGUCCUCUGUAAAACAGCCAUGGCAUAGACCCAUCCUCUGGCAGGGGACUUGCAAAGCUAAAAUCAUUACUAGUUUUGAAACAUUCAGCUAUUUUAGUGAACUCAACUGAAAAGCUUUUUAGGAGACUAAUAAUCCUACCUCCCUAGCAGAGAUUGAAUAAUGUGCAGUAAAUCCUGCCUCAGGCUUCAUGCACUGAACAACACGGUGGAAAAGCCUUGUGAGAUUUUUUGCUAACGGUGCAAAGUCUGUCCUCUGUGUGGCAUGAAGGAGGGUCCCCCAGAAAAUAGCUUAGCUGUGGAAUUAACUCUAAAUGUGCUGCAACCAGAUUGUUUUGGGCAACUUCAUGUGUACAUGCAUGUUUUGUUCUGUAACAGUUGGUUAUACAGUCCUUUUUGUCAACAGGUUUUCGAGUUAAACUUUAAACAAAAAACCUCACCAGAAGGGUAAUCCAACACUGGAAUUGUCUGCCCAGGGAGGUUGUGGGGUCUCCAUCCUUGGAGAUACUCAAAACCUGAUGAGAUGUGGUACAAAUCAACCUGCUUGAGAUGGAUCUUCUUUGAGCCAGGCAGUCGGACUACAUGGUCUCCAGAGGCUCCUGCCAACUUCAAUUGUUCUUUAAUUUUUAAAAAGCUGUAGAAGGAUGAGUUAGCCUCUAAAUUUCAGGACACAAGAUUUGCCAUGGGAACUGACUAUCCAGAUGCAAAAGCACUGAGCCUGCAAUCCCUUGAGCUGAGGGCAAGGAGACACCCUGCUACCCACAGAGCAUGAAAAGCCUUUUCUCUUUGCUUCUUCCAUUCAGCCAAGAGAAAAAGACAGUAGUGGGGGCCUGAAUUAUGGCACUUGUGGGUUCUUCCUGUUGCUGACAAUAACGAGGGGCAGCAUUAGUUUCCAGGCAACUGAUUUGGUGUCUUUCCAAGGGCCUCUGGCAGUGGGGUUUCUCACUGAGGACCCUGGUUUCUUCCCUUCCCUUUGUAAGCAUUACACUCUCACCUAAAUUGCAGACUCCACUCUCCUGGUUGCAGGUUUUUUGACAUCCUUGCCUUUGAUUUUCAGAUCCUCACAGUUUUUUUUAAACAUGGGUUCUCCUCAGGGAAACUCCCAAAGAUGGUGGAUCUGCAGGUGCAGCAACACCAAGUGAGUGUGGUCGAGAUUAAAAGCUGGGCUGGUGAGGGUGGCAGAAGGCACAGAGGUAAGGUACAGCCCCAGAGAACAUGAACUUGGUGCUUCAGAUUGGGAAACUGGGAUCAGCACACAGCUUUGACAGACCUUCAUGUCUACAAACCUACAAAUGCUACAAAGCCACUCAAAACAGAGCUAUCUGAACUUCACCAAGUCCCCACCUUGAAUCGUGGUGCUACUGCAGCAGGACCUAAGGCAAGAGACACCCAUGAUGCUGCUAAAUGCCACAGCAUAUUCCCUGCUAAAAGUGGGGCUGCUUCACUGCUGAGUCUGUGGCUUCUGAAGGAGAAUAAAAACACCGGUCUUUACCAGAUAAAGCUCAAUAAAGCUGGGUAAUUCCAAGAACAAAGGAAAUUAAAUUCUCCAGACUGCACUGUAGAAGUGACCCACAAUGUUCUGUGGUCCAAACCCGUGUAGAAUUAUGAUUCUUUUAGGCAUAGAGACCUGACUUUUUAGAAUGAUGGACUUUUUUUCCCUGGAACUUUACUUUUAGUCUUUAAAAUGGAAAAUUCCAGAAGAGAAGGAGAAAUUACAGGUUCCUAGGAACAUCAAGGAUCAACUGUUUCCUAGCAGAAGGCAAGACAAGAGCCAAAGGCGACCCCAGUACAGGCUCAGCCCUCACUAGUCAGGGCCCUCUUGUGUUACACUCGCAGCCUGGGAAGAGGGGGAACUGGAGCUGGGAAUCAGAAUGUUCAGAUCAACCCCAGGGAAGCAGCAAACAUACCAUUUCAUACAACAUGAAAUGAGAUCUAACAGGGAAGAGGAGAGGGAAGGUGGAGGGGGAUCCAUUAUUCAUGAAGGCAACAGUAGUACAACAGAGCUUGCACAGACCCAGGCAGCGCUGGAUAAGGUUACUGCAGAAACAAGGGUUGGUAAUGGUAUGCCAAAGCUCUGCUUCUUGGGUGUAGAAAGCAGAGAGGCAUUGAGUCCUUCCUUUUCCUUUCUUUCCCCUUUCUUUCCCUUCCCUUCCUUUCCCAGCACAACACUCUCCUGGGGCAUAUGACAUCAGAAACAAGCUUCCUUGGAAAGCUCUACUCAUGGUCUGUUGAGGAAGAUUUGGGAAGUUAGAAACCUGUAGAACACAGGAGGAGGGAGAAGCGGACCCCAGAGAGAUAGCAGACAAGUGAGAUCAAGGUUCUCCACCUCUCACCAAGGCUGAUUCUGAUUUCCUCAACAGGGAAACCUAUCAGGGCUUGGCACUUGUCUCAAAUGACAGCACGUGUUUGCUAUGGUUCUGUGGUUUCUCACAAAGCAAUGGUUUUUUGUUUUGUUUUUUUUUCCAGUUUGCUGCUUUCUCUUUUUUCUCCUUGCAAACAGAGCUGCUGGCUCCUCUCUGGCAGGCUGGCUGUGGGACACCAUUUACAGAUGGAUGGGUGAGCAGGUACCUGUGUAGCGCUGACUGUUGCAACAUGGAGGACAUAUCUCAGCAGUUGUCCUGAGGAAUUAAACAUCCCUGGAUGUUUGGACAGGAAACUGGGCUCUGGCUUUGCACUGCUUGGCUUGGAAAUACCCUAAGAGUAAAAAAGAGGAAGCAGAUCUGUAAUCCUGGAGGUGGUGGAAAAUGAACUAUUUCCUACCCUGGACAGCUUGCGCAAGGCAGAAAUGUGUGCAGGCUUGUGCAGUGAAGGUGAUCCCUCCACUCAGCAGCUGAGGAGGCCCUGGGAUUGUGACACUCUUGUGUAGGGGCCACUUUGAUGGACUAGAACAUGUGCUGAAUCACACCCUUGUGCAAAAAGAGCUCUUCCUCAGCUGAGGGACGCUUUGCAGGAUCAGACUCUGCUGGUGCUGCAGGAAGUGCUGACAUCAAAUCAGUGCAUGUCAUUGCCAGGCUGUGCCUGGAGGGAUGUAUGGCUUGAGCACACUGGCUUGGAUCAUGUCCCAUGUGUAGUACUAGGGCUGCCAGGCACUGCAGCCAGAACACUUAGUGCUCACCUGGAAUACAUUGCACGAUAUAUUUAGAAUGCCUUUUUUUUUAAUUUCCCAUUGCUUUUAAUUGCAUUCAGCUAUUUUGAUAUUUCUGCCGGUGGUCGGCCACAUGGUUUUGCAAAAAAAAGCCACCAUUGAGCAGCGUGUGGGCCUCGUGUCUGCCUGUGAGCCAGGUCCCAUCUGGCUGUAAUUACUAGCUUCACAUCAGCAAAAGAGUGUAAUAUUUAAAUACAAAUGUUUGAUGUUUGCAUAGCAAACCUCAGGAUGGAAAGCUCUUGAUAAUCAGCCUGCAGGGAGGAGGUGGGCUUGCUGCAGGUGAGCACUGAGGUGUGUGGGAUGCAGCAAGACUUUGUGGGGUUUUAUGGGGAUAGAGAGAAGAGCAACACUGAAUUCAGAAGCCCUUCAUGCCUCGCUCUGGGCAGAAGCUCCACACAGCAUUGUAAUCCUCAGUCUUAGGCAGAUGGGCUAUGAGCAGGGCAGAUGUGAUGCAGGGCAGAUGACCCUGCCAGGAAUCUCCCAUAUCCUCGCAUUCAGAACAUGUGAGGAGGUCACUGAAGCUUGCAAAAUGGUAGAAGAGCUCCUGAAAUCAAUACAGGCUCCCUGCCCUCAGUAGUAGCCAUCAGGAUGGAUAACAACCCUUGUUAGGUUUCAGCAGCUCAGGCACCAGCCGUGCCUGGAGAGCAGGGAGCUGGAGCCAAACUCACAGAAACAUGGACAAUCUAUUGCACCAGCCCCUAAACACUAAGCUUGGGACCACAGCAAGCAUUAGCCACUUUGUCUGGCAGAGAUAAGAUCCAACCCAUAGUACCCUUCCAAAGAACCUUCCCCUGCUUGUAGUGAACACAAGUGUGAGAUCUCUUGUGUACAGCACUUUGCUUCUCUGCCCUUCAAUCCCAGUCCUUUGGGGAAGGAAAACAACAAGCUUGUACUGCACCCUGCUCCAAUUGGGACGACAAAGUGAGAAAACGGCUUCAUCUGCUCCCAGGCACGUCUGGAAGGUGACAGACACGUGUGCUGCCUGCAGCAUCCUCUGUUUAGCAUUAAGGUCCAAGCACAACCGUGCACACCCAGCCAAAUGAGAGUCCUGGAGCUGCUGCCUGCUGUGCCACCUCCUGUAGGGUACACAGCACCCUUGUUUUGCUCCUGAUGGAGAAGAAAAGCCAUGCCUGGAGAUGGCUUUCGUUCAUAAUGCCAUCACAGGGCUAGCAGCUGGCUCUUCCUGAGCUUGUCCAGACAAGGUUCAACCUGUCACAACUCGUCAUUUUAUAAGUGCAGGAGGCUAGAGCCUAGGAUAACAGGAUACUAAUAGGAUAACAAAUGCCUCCUCACUGUCUCAGGGGGUUUGGGGACCUAUUCUCUGCAGCUUGCACACCCAAGGUGAGCCAGCCCUACUGUCGUCACUGCCUCCGAGGAGCAUUGCUCAUCUUGACAAACUUUAAAGCUGCAUCCUGACAGACCAAAAUAAAUCAAUCAAUAAAUAAAUCGUCCGUCUCGUCUA